UACGUAGGGUGCAAGCGUUACUCGGAAUUACUGGGCGUAAAGCGUGCGCAGGCGGUUAUGCAAGACAGAUGUGAAAUCCCCGGGCUCAACCUGGGAACUGCAUUUGUGACUGCAUGGCUAGAGUGCGGCAGAGGGGGAUGGAGUUCCGCGUGUAGCAGUGAAAUGCGUAGAUAUGCGGAGGAACACCGAUGGCGAAGGCAAUCCCCUGGGCCUGCACUGACGCUCAUGCACGAAAGCGUGGGGAGCAAACAGG
rnacentral:rRNA from 1 species